GGAGGCUGAAGCAGGAGAAUCACUUGAAUCUGGGAGGUGGAGGUUACAGUGAGCCAACAUCACACCACAGCACUCCAGCCUGGGUGACAGAACAAGACUCCGUCUCAAAAAAAAAAAAAAAAAAAAAAAAAAAAAAGAAAGAAAAAAAUUAUGACAUUAAGUGAGUAUAAGGGGGUAUAUUAUUUACGUACUCACUUUUGUAGCAAAUCCCCCAGCUGUGCACUUUUCUGGGUGCAUGCAAUACUUUCACAAGUAAAUAAAUAUCUUUAUUUAAAACAGUAAUAACAGAAAAUCUCAGCACACUAGGGCACGAUGGUUCACACCUGUCCCAGCACUUUGGGAGGCUGAGGCAAGAGGAUCACUUGAGGCCAGGAGUUUAAGACCAGCAUGGGCAACAUAACGAGACCCUGUCUCUACAAAAAAAUUUAAAAUGAACUUAAAUUUUUUUUAAUUUUUAAAAAGCUUAGCGCAAGUGGAGUCAUUCUAGAAAGGUGAUGCUAAUGAUUAGUACCUAUAUGGUAUUUACUAUGAACCAAUCACUGUUCAAAACACCUUAUUUAUAUUUAUUCACUUAAAUCCAGCAACAACCCUUUGAGCUAGAUGCUAUUAUUAAUUUUGUUUUACAGAGGCAGCAACCAAGGCACAGAGAGGCUAAGAAACUUGCCCAGAUCACACAGUUAAUGCAUGGCACAUCUAGAAUUUCUAGAGUCUAGAACCAGCCAGGAUGGCCUCUCAAACUCUAUCUUAUACAGACUAUCUAUUGAUAUUAGAUGAAUUUUUUUUUUUUUUUUGAGACAGAAUCUCACUGUGUCACCCAGGCUGGAGUGCAGUGGCACGAUCUCAGCUCACUGCAGCCUCCAACUCCCGGGUUCCAGUGAUUCUCCUGCCUCAGCCUCCCAAGUAGCUGGGAUUACAGGCACAUGCCACCAUGCCCAACUAAUUUUUGUAAUUUUAGUAGAGAUGGCGUUUCGCCAUGUUGGCCAGGCUGGUCUCGAACUCCUGACUUCUGGUGAUCCGCCUGCCUUGGCCUCCUAAAGUGCUGGGAUUACAGGCAUGAGUCACCGCACCCAGCCUUAGGUGAAUUCUUAAUACUGGUUAAAUGAGAAUAACUACAUGACCUUUCUUAGAGACUACAAGAAUAUUUAACAAAAUUCAAUAUCCAGUAUUGAUAUGAUAAAAACAUAUUUAAGUUUAAAAAUAGCAUCUUGUUUAAUGUUGCACACUAGAAGCAUUUUCCAUUAAAGUCAGGAACAGGGUAAGAGAAAUAAUAUUUCCACUUAUUUAAUAUUAUUCUAGGUAUAUAAAGAUAAAAAAUACAAAUUUUAAGAAUUACAAAGUGGAGACAACAUAAUGACUAUUUGCAGGUAAUAUGAUUGCAUAUCUAGCCAAUCCAAGAGUACUCCUGGAAAGUCUCUCAUAAACAAUGAGUUAAGUCAGUAAUGUAGUUGGUUACACAAUCAACAGCACUUCUAUGUUUCAGGGAAAAAGCUAGGAAACAAAAUGGAAGAAAACCUUGUACUUAAAAUAGCACCAACGCUCACACUUACAACAUCAGCAACAACAAAAAUGUAGGAAAAUGAAAGAAGAAAUAAAUGAAAAUACACACUUUGUUCAUCAAUUAGAAGAUUUCAUGAUGUAAAGAUGCACAUUCUCCCUAAAUUAAACUUAACCUUUAAUUUUAUAUCAAUAAAAAUACAUUAUGAGGUUUUUUUGGAAGUAGCCUCAUUGAGUCUAAAGUUCAAAUGGAAAAAUAAACAAGUGAGGCUAGCCAGGAAAAUUUUGAAAAAGGAAAGUAAUAAAAAAGAAUUAACCCUCCUAGGUAUUGAAGCACAUUAUAAAGCUACAUUUAUAUUUUUAAAAGUUUAGUACUUGGCCGGGCGCAGUGGCUCACGCCUAUAAUCCCAGCACUUUGGGAGGCCGAGGUGGGUGGAUCACGAGGUCAGGAGAUCGAGACUAUCCUGUCUAACACGGUGAAACCCCAUCUCCACUAAAAAUACAAAAAAUAAAAUUAGCCGGGCGUAGUGGCGGGCGCCUGAAGCAGGAGAAUGGCGUGAACCCAGGAGACGGAGCUUGCAUGGAGUGCAGUAGCACGAUCUCAACUCAUUGCGGUCUCUGUCUCCAGGGUGCAAGAGAUCCUCCUUCCUCACCCUCCUGAGUAGCUAGGGCCACAGGUGCAUGCCACCACACUUGGCUAAUUUUUGUAUUUUUAGUAGAGACAGGGUUUCAACAUAUUGGCCAGGCUGGUCUCAAACUCCUGACCUCAAGUGAUCCACCUGCUUUGGCCUACCAAAGUGCUAGGAUUACAGGCAUGUGCCACCGCAUCCAGCCAGAUAAACAAUUUAAAUGUAAAUAAAUAAAACAGGAUGAAAGGGGAACAUGGGCGCACACACACACACACACACACACACACACAUCUUAAAUAAGAGAAAAUCUUUCUAAGCCAGACACAAAACUCAGAUGCUAAAAAGAAAAAAUUAGCUACAUAAAAUUCAAAAUAGCUGCACAGUAUAAAAAUACCAUAGGCUAAAUUAAAAGGUAGGUAACAAGCUAGGAGAAAUGUUUCUACAAUUCAUGCAACAGACGAAGAAUAAAUGUCCUUAAUAAACAAAGAGCUCUUAUAAUUAAAAAGAAAAAAUAUGAAUAGUUUUUAAAUUGGGCAAAGAAUGAUGUAGCUCACAAAAAAAGAAAUAUAAAUUGCUCAUAAAUACAUAAAAACACACAAAAAAUUUCUCAACCUUACUAGUGACUAAAGACAUACAAAUUAAAGUGAGAUGAGUUGGCAAAGAUAGUGUUAAAUAAUGGCCACAAUGGGCCAGUGCGGUGGCUCACGCCUGUAAUCCCAGCACUCUGGGAGGCCAAGGUGGGUAGACGUCUUGAGGCCAGGAGUUCAAGACCAGCCUGGCCAACAUGUCAAAACCCUGUCUCUACAAAAAAUACAAACAUUAGCCCGGUGUGAUGACACGUGCCUGUAAUCUCAACUGCUCAGAAGGCUGAGGUGGGAGGACUGCUUGAGUCUGGGAGGUGGAGAUUGUAGUGAGCUGAGAUCGUGCCACUGCACUGCAGCCUGGGUGACAGAGUGAGACUCUGUCAAAAAAAAAAAAACACACACACACACAAUGAGUGAGAGCAGAACAAGCAGGUGCUUUCAUAAAUUGCUGGUGAGGAUGAAAACUGACAUGCUCUUCGUUUUUGUUUGGUUGGUUUUUGGGGGUUUUGGUUACUGUAACUUUUUCCAGUAGUUUUUGGGGUACAGGUGGUUUUUGAUUACAUGGAUGAGUUUUUUUUUUUUUUGAGACGGAGUCUCGCUCUGUCGCCCAGGCUGGGGUGCGGUGGCGCGAUGUCAGCUCACUGCAAGCUCCACCUCCCAGGUUCACGCCAUUCUCAGGCCUCAGCCUCCUGAAUAGCUGGGUCUACAGGCACCCGCCACCACGCCCGGCUAAUUUUUUUGUAUUUUUAGUAGAGACGGGGUUUCACCAUGUUAGCCAGGAUGGUCUCGAUCUCCUGACUUGGUGAUCCGCCAGUCUCGGCCUCUCAAAGUGCUGGGAUUAUAAGCGUGAGCCACCGCCCCCAGCCAUGGAUGAGUUCUUUAGUGGUGAAUUCUGAGACUUUGGUGCACCCGUCACCCUAGCAGUGUACAGUGUACACUGUCUCCAAUAUGUAGUCUUUUGUCUCUCACCCACCUUCCAACCUCCCCCUUCGAGUCCCCAGAGUCCAUUAUAUGGCUCUGUAUGUUUUUGCAUCCUCAUAGCUUAGCUCCCAUUUAUAAUUGAGAACAUACCGUAUUUGGUUUUCCAUUUCUGACUUACUUCACUUAGAAUAAUGGCCUUCGGUUCCAACCAAGUUGCUGCAAAAGACAUUAUUUUGUUUCUCUUCGUGGCUCAGUAGUAUUCCAUGAUACACAUAUGCCAUAUUUUCUUUAUCCGCUGAUUGGUCAGUGGGCAUUUAGGUUGGUUCCAUAGCCUUGCAAUUGUGAAUUGUGCUGCCAUAAACGUAAGUGUGCAUGUGUCAGCCAAGCACAGUGGCUCACGCCUGUAAUCCCAGCACUUUGGGAGGCUGAGGCAGGCAGAUUGCCUGAGGUCGGGAGUUCGAGACCAGCCUGAUCAACAUGGAGAAACCCCGUCUCUACUAAAAAUACAACAAUUAGCCGGGCGUGGUGGUGCAUGCCUGUAAUUCCAGCUACUCGGGAGGCUGAGGCAGGAGAAUUGCUUGAACCCAGGAGGUGGAGGUUGCGGUGAACCGAGAUCAUACCAUUGCACUCCAGCCUGGGCAACAAGAGUGAAACUCUGUCUCAAAAAAAAAAAAAUGUUUGGGUGUGACUUUUUCAUAUAAUGACUUCUUUUCCUUUGGGUAGAUACCCAGUAUUGAGAUUGCUGGAUUAAAUGGUUGAUCUACUUUUAGUUCUAAAUUUAAGGAAUCUCCAUACUGUUUUCCAUUGUGGUUUUACUAAUUUACAUUCCCACCAGCAGUGACGCACUCUCCUUGAAAGGCAAAUUAACAUUUUUGAUCACAUUUUAAAAUGUUCAUUGAGUUUCAGGUCAAGGCUAAGUGAGGAAAAAUAAAUAAAAUGUUUAUAUUGGCCAGGCCUGGUGGCUCACACUGUAAUCUUAGCACUUUGGGAGGCUGAGGUAGGUGGAUCGCUUAGAGGCCAGGAGUUCCAGUCCAGCCUGGGCAACAUAGAAAGACCCCAUCUCUACCAAAAAUACAAAAAUUAGCUGGGCAUGGUGGCACAAGCCUGUAGUCCCUGCUAUGCGGGAGGCUGAGGCAGGAGGAUCACUUGAGCCCAGGAGGUCGAGACUGCAGUGAGCUAUGAUUACACUAUUGCGUGCCAGCCUGGGCAACAGAACAAGACCCUGUCUCAAAAAAAAAAAAAAAAAGAAGUUUAUAUUCUUUGACUCGGCUAUUCCACUUCGAUGAUUCUCUGUCACAGGUGUCUUAAAUACAUGAACAAAGGUAUAAAUUUUUUUUAAAUUUGUAAAUAUGCUGGGCGCAGUGGUUCACACCUGUAAUCCCAGCACUUUGAGAGCCCAAGGCAGGCAGAGCACCUGAGGUUGGGCGUUCAAGACCAGCCUGACCAACAUGGAAAAACCGUCUCUACUCAAAAUACAAAAUUAGCCAGGCGCAGUGGCACAUGCCUGUAAUCCCAGCUACUCAGGAGGCUGACUCAGGAGAAUCCCUUGAACCCAGGAGGUGGAGGUUGCAGUGAGCCGAGAUCGCGCCAUUGCACUCCAGCCUGGGCAACAAGAGCGGAACUUCAUCUCAAAAAAAAAAAAAAAAUUGUAAACACAAACUAACAUAAAAGUUCAAAGCACAGAAAAAAUAACUUUUUUCCUCAACAAAAUAAGAGUUCAUUGUUGGCCAGGCAUGGCAUGGUGGCUCACACCUGUAGUCCCAGCACUUCGAGAGGCUGAGGCAGGAGGAUCACUGGAGCCCAGGAGUUCAAGACCAGCCUGGGCAACAUAGAAAGGUGCCAUCCCUACAAAAAACAGAAAAAUUGGCUAGAUGUGGUGGUGCACGCCUGUAGUCCUGCAGUGUAGUUUAUGUGAGAAUUCUUCAUCUUUGACAGGAGCAGCACAGGGCUAAUGCUGUGCUCUUCUUAUUGCAUCCUACUAAGCAGUGCUAGAUUUCAUUUGUUCCAAUCCUGAUGACAUUCACUUUGAUCACUCAAUUAGGGUGGUAUCUG
rnacentral:lncRNA from 1 species